GAAUUGCGAUAAGUAAUGUGAAUUGCAGAUUUCCAGUGAAUCAUCGAAUCUUUGAACGCACCUUGCGCUCCUUGGUAUUCCGAGGAGCAUGCCUGUUUGAGUGUCAUUUGAGUUCCUCAACCAUGUCUUUUCAAGGGCAUGGCUUGGAAUUGGGGGUUGCUGGUGGACGAGAAUAUCGACCUGUCAGCUCUCCUGAAAUGCAUUAGCAAUGGGGUGGCUAGUCUUUUCGACGUGGCACGGCCUUCGACGUGAUAAUGAUCGUCGUGGCUGGAGCGUUGUGGACGGAUGCAUGGAUAGCCCAAUGCUUUCAAUAACGUUUUGAAUCGAUCGCUCGUCCUUGGAAAGGCCAUGUUUUUAGUUAUUAGUCAGGUCCGUAAGGCUGACGAACACAGAAAACRGAACAACCUUUUCUUUGGACUUGUGUACGAGUUCCACUUCGAAACUUGACCUCAAAUCAGGUAGGACUACCCGCUGAACUUAA
rnacentral:rRNA from 1 species